rnacentral:rRNA from 1 species
AUUGAACGCUGGCGGCAGGCCUAACACAUGCAAGUCGAGCGAGCGGCGGGCGGGUGAUUAAUGUAUGGGGACUGCCCGAUAGAGGUGGAUACCUACUGGAAACGGUCGUUCAUACUUCAUACUGACGGGUAACCCAUGUGUGAUUAGCUGGUAGGGAAGGUAAUGGCUUACCUAGCCGACGAUCCCUAGUGGGUCUGAGCGGAUGAUCAGCCACACUGGGACUGAGACACGGCCCAGACUCCUACGGAGGCAGCAGGGGGGAAUAUUGCACAAUGGGCGCAAGCCUGAUGCAGCCAUGCCGCGUGUAUGAAGAAGGCCCUAGGGUUGUAAAGUACUUUCAGUCGGGAGGCGUUACCGACAGAAGAAGCACCGGCUAACUCCGUGCCAGCAGCCGCGGUAAUAC